CCUACGGGAGGCAGCAGUGAGGAAUAUUGGUCAAUGGGCGGAAGCCUGAACCAGCCAAGUAGCGUGCAGGAUGACGGCCCUACGGGUUGUAAACCACUUUUAUACGGGAAUAACGCGCCUUUCGUGUAGGGCUUUGCAUGUACCGUAUGAAUAAGGACCGGCUAAUUCCUUGCCAGCAGCCGCGGUCAUACGGAAGGUCCGGGCGUUAUCUGGAUUUAUUGGGGUUAAAGGGGUGGUAGGCCGCAUUUAAAGGGUGCUGUGAAAUGUCAGGGCGCAACCCGGGCCUUGCAGCGCGAACUGGAGUGCUUGAGUCCGCGGAAGGCAGGCGGAAUUCGUAGUGUAGCGGUGAAAUGCUUAGAUAUGACGAAGAACCCCGAUUGCGAAGGCAGCUUGCUGCAGCGGAACUGACGCUGAUGCUCGAAAGUGCGGGUAUCGAACAGGAUUAGAUACCCGGGUAGUC
rnacentral:rRNA from 1 species